rnacentral:rRNA from 1 species
GACGAACGCUGGCGGCGUGCUUCAUACAUGCAAGUCGAACGAGAAAUUCACUUCGGUGGAUGGAAAGUGGCGGACGGGUGAGUAAUAUGUAGGAAAUCUGCCCUUAAGAGGGGGACAACAGAGGGAAACUUCUGCUAAUACCCCAUAUGAGCGUAGCUGAAAUGCUAUUCUUGAAAACUCCGGUGCUUAAGGAUGAGCCUGCAUCUGAUUAGCUAGUUGGGGGUGUAAUGGACCACCAAGGCGACGAUCAGUAGCCGGACUGAGAGGUUGACCGGCCACAUUGGGACUGAGAUACGGCCCAGACUCCUACGGGAGGCAGCAGUGGGGAAUAUUGGGCAAUGGACGCAAGUCUGACCCAGCAACGCCGCGUGAAGGAAGAAGGGCCCUUCGGGUUUGGUAAACUUACUUUUACCUAGGGACGAAGUAAUGACGGUACCUGGAGAAAAGACAACGGACUAACU